rnacentral:rRNA from 1 species
UAGCUAGUUGGUAGGGUAAAGGCCUACCAAGGCGACGAUCGGUAGCUGGUCUGAGAGGAUGACCAGCCACACUGGAACUGAGACACGGUCCAGACUCCUACGGGAGGCAGCAGUGGGGAAUAUUGGACAAUGGGGGCAACCCUGAUCCAGCAAUGCCGCGUGUGUGAAGAAGGCCUGAGGGUUGUAAAGCACUUUCAGUGGGGAGGAGGAUUGCCAGGUUAAGAGCUAGGUAAUUGGACGUUACCCACAGAAGAAGCACCGGCUAACUCCGUGCCAGCAGCCGCGGUAAUACGGAGGGUGCAAGCGUUAAUCGGAAUUACUGGGCGUAAAGGGUGCGUAGGUGGUUGGAUAAGUUAUCUGUGAAAGCCCCGGGCUCAACCUGGGAAGGUCAGAUAAGACUGCUCGACUCGAGUAUAGGAGAGGGUAGUGGAAUUUCCGGUGUAGCGGUGAAAUGCGUAGAGAUCGGAAGGAACACCAGUGGCGAAGGCGGCUACCUGGCCUGAUACUGACACUGAAGCACGAAAGCGUGGGGAGCAACCAGGAUUAGAUACCCUGGUAGUCCACGCUGUAAACGAUGUCAACUAGUUGUUGGUGAUAUGAAUAUCAUUAGUGACGA